UACGAAGGGGGCUAGCGUUGCUCGGAAUCACUGGGCGUAAAGCGCACGUAGGCGGACUCUUAAGUCAGGGGUGAAAUCCUGGAGCUCAACUCCAGAACUGCCUUUGAUACUGGGAGUCUUGAGUUCGGGAGAGGUGAGUGGAACUGCGAGUGUAGAGGUGAAAUUCGUAGAUAUUCGCAAGAACACCAGUGGCGAAGGCGGCUCACUGGCCCGAUACUGACGCUGAGGUGCGAAAGCGUGGGGAGCAAACAAG
rnacentral:rRNA from 1 species